GGGUCCGGACACACUGAGGAUUGACAGGCAAAAGAUACAAGUUUUCUUUGAAAGCUUGCAUUGUAAAAUAUGCGAGUCCUUUCAUGAUUAUGUGAUAGGUGGUGCAUGGCCGUUCUUAGUUCGUGGAGUGAUCUGUCUGCUUAAUUGCGUUUCACAACGAUUUAAAAUGCUAUGUUUUCUGUGUUUGCUGUUCGGUUUUGCUCUUACGGGAGUUUUAACUUUGAACGCACACGGCGUAGCUUAAAACAAUCGGAAAGCAACGAACGUGACCGCAACCUCUUGUUGCCUUUAUUUUUAAAAGCGUGGAAAAUUUUAUAUUUUCUUACGCUUGAAAAAGGCUUUAAAACUAGAGGGACCGCUGUUCUAUUCUCUUAAACCAGAGGAAGAUUGCGGCAAUAACAGGUCUGUGAUGCCCUCAGAUGUUCCGGGCUGCACACGUGCUACAAUGAUUGUUGCAGUGAGCAUCUAUUCUCAAACGCUACCGUUGCGGAUUUUGUGAGAAGGGAGUUUGUUUUAAAGCUUUCGGGUGGAGAAGCAGGUUCUUUUUUUUUACAAUUUAUUCCGCGUUACGUGUCAGCUAAACCUGCUUCGAAAGCAAGUAGGU
rnacentral:rRNA from 1 species